rnacentral:misc_RNA from 1 species
GUCAAAAACCUUGGUCCGUGACAUUCAGCCCCAGCCCCAGGGCGUCUUCCCUUAGCAAAUUCAUAGAUAGUUUUUUUAUCAUAUACCAUCUUCAGCAAUAUAUUUCUAUCAUAAACUCCACUUCCCUUUGCAUUGAAAUUGAAAGCAGCCUUUUUUCUUCCAAACUUGUCUUUGGUACCCAUGUAUUAGGAUAUGCAUGUACUGAAGCAAAA